rnacentral:tRNA from 1 species
CGGCCUGUAGCUCAACGGUGAGAGCGGCUGCCUUAUAUGCAGUGUGUUACUGGUUCAAAUCCAGUCUGGCCGACAA